GCCCGGUUAGCUCAAUUGGUUAGAGCGUCGGACUUUUAACAGGAAUUUCCUGGGUCCAUCCGAAGGCUGCGAGUUCGACCCUCGCAUCGGGCG